GACGGGGGAUGCAAGCGUUAUCCGGAAUCACUGGGCGUAAAGCGUCUGUAGGUGGUGAUGCAAGUCACUGGUGCAAAACUCUGGCUCAACCGGAGGAAAGCCAGUGAAGCUGCAUGACUAGAGUGUGUGAGAGGUAGAAGGAAUUCCCUGAGUAGCGGUGAAAUGCGUAGAUACAGGGAAGAACACCGGAGGCGAAAGCGUUCUACUGGAACACAACUGACACUGAGCGACGAAAGCUAGGGGAGCCAAUGGG
rnacentral:rRNA from 1 species